GCCGAGGUCCUCUUCUAGGAUUGGUUGUCCACUCAUAACCAUAAGAUAAUUAAAACGGGGGGGGGCAGGGUAAAAAAAAAACCCUUUUAUCAGCCAUAGGUUAAUGCAAGUGUUUAACAGAUGCUUCGCUAUUAAAAUAUUUCCCCCCAAUACUGAAGAAUCUUAAACCAGCAACCCUAACAGAGAUUGCGAAGAUUUUCAAAGUGGGGCACCUCGAUUUCUCGAAUCUGUGGUGUGGCGAAUAUCCGUGUUCCUCCUGCUUAACUAGCCUGUUUGAAGGCACAGUUCAUUCUCGAGCAAUUCGUCACCUCCUGGGGGUCUUCUCUUCCCGUCUACAGGAGAGUGUGACUUCAGAAAGAACUUCGGAUUGGCCAAGGCCAUUAAAGCUGGUGAGCGACUUGGAAGUCAUUUAGAAAGGAACAGACCUUCAACCUCAAGCCUUUGCGGGCACUGGGAAAGUGUCUUCCCAAUCAAUCUGGCUUGCAGGCGGCAGGACCAACUCUGACCUGGCUUAUCUUGUACCCAUCCUAAAUACACCAAACUCAAGAGGUAGCCAGGGCCGCCUCAACACCGAGGCAGGUCUGAUUCUAUUUAUUCUAAAGACAGAGUUGGAGAUGGGCUACCAUUGGUGUUGAUUGAGAUGACAAGCAGUCACCUGAGCCCAUACAGCUGUCGGUUUUUUUUUUUUUUUUUUUGUCAAACCCAGGGUUCACAGAUGUGGCUAGUCUUGCUAGCCAGCUCGCACUGUGGACAUUCUAGGGAACUGACUGCAGUCCUCAUGCUUGGAGUCAAACACUUUAACCACUGCACACGUUUAUGUAAUAGGAUUGACAUAUGAGAAUCAGAGAAAUGAAUGAAAGAUUAGAGUGGGAGAAAGUGCUUGCUGCCAAGCUUGAUGACCUAAAUUGAAUACCUGGAACCUACACGACAGAAAGAGAGAGCUGACUGCUGAAAGAUGUCCUCAGAUCUUCACAUGUGCACAGUGGCACCUAUCCAACCAUGCACAUAGUAUAUUAAAAAUUAUUUUUUAAAAAAUCCA
rnacentral:lncRNA from 1 species